UACGUAGGGUGCGAGCGUUGUCCGGAAUUAUUGGGCGUAAAGAGCUCGUAGGUGGUUUGUCGCGUUGUUCGUGAAAACUCACAACUCAAUUGUGGGCGUGCGGGCGAUACGGGCAGACUAGAGUACUGCAGGGGAGACUGGAAUUCCUGGUGUAGCGGUGGAAUGCGCAGAUAUCAGGAGGAACACCGGUGGCGAAGGCGGGUCUCUGGGCAGUAACUGACGCUGAGGAGCGAAAGCGUGGGGAGCGAACAGG
rnacentral:rRNA from 1 species